UCCCCCCCCCCUUAACUGACCUCACCGCCAUGGCUCGACGAUCAGUUGUGAUCCUCCGACCUCCACCACCUCCUAACAAAGCCCCGAUAGGUCACCUGCAUGCCUUGACCCGGCGAUAGAGCUCCACGUGUGGUAUGAUCUCUGGUGACCGAAUCGAACCGCUUGUCACGAACGCCGUCGUGCCUCUUGAAUUCUUGCUCCAACGACGCAAAGGCAAUCUUCACUGCUAUGAUUGUCAGAGGCGAGCUCGGGGCUCCAAUACCCUGAGCGGUUCUACGUGGCGGCCUCCUACGCCGGUUUCGACGGAUCUCCUCGCUCCUCCUCUAAAGCCGUUCGCGCCAAGUUCAACUCUGAGUCCGCUCUCAUCCUCUACGCUCUCUAUAAGCAGUGAUAGUGUUUUGGCAACCAUGGUGAAAUGCAAAUUGAUGGAUCCGUUUUACGGCUUGGUAAAUGAAUAUCAAUCAUAGAUAUUGUUGAUUCAGGGAGGCAGUGGUGCACAUUCUGGUACUUUUAAGACCUUUCAGUGUAAGCUGGUACGUGAUACAUAUAAAUGAUAAAAUGCACUUUGAGUCAGGUACUCAGCACCUAGAUCUGAAUUUCCGUGGAAUCAAUUACUAUGCAGAGGUAUAUUUAAAUGGGCACAAAAAGGUCCUUCCAAGAGGGAUGUUUCGAAGGCAUUCUCUAGAUGUCACUGAUAUAGUACAUGACAGUGAAAAUAUGCUUGCUGUUGUUGUUUACCCCAGAUCAUUGUGGUUAUGUUUUAUUUUGUUUAAUGCGCUUAUGGGAGGUUGUCCUAAUUGAAAAAAGUGUUGUGGUUGUACUUGGACUAAAAUCACUUGAAAUCUUCUUAAAAUCACAAUAAAAUCUUCUUACUAA